UACAGAGGUCUCAAGCGUUGUUCGGAUUCAUUGGGCGUAAAGGGUGUGUAGGUGGCGCGCUAAGUCGGGUGUGAAAUUUCGGAGCUUAACUCCGAAACUGCAUUCGAUACUGGCGUGCUUGAGGACUGGAGAGGAGACUGGAAUUCAUGGUGUAGCAGCGAAAUGCGUAGAGAUCAUGAGGAAGACCAGUGGCGAAGGCGGGUCUCUGGACAGUUCCUGACACUGAGACACGAAGGCCAGGGGAGCAAACGGG
rnacentral:rRNA from 1 species